rnacentral:sRNA from 1 species
GACCCCGGAGGUCAACGUCCGCCAGCGCGUCGCGCCCGCGGGCGCUGAACGUC